AUGAAUCUUUUUAUCAAAGGAUCAGAAAAAAACCGGUCCGGAUGCAGGUUAGAUUCCAAAAUCUGAAUGCUGGUUGAAUCUUUCACUGUGACUGCAUUGUGUCUAAAUCAAAAGACAAUUUCUUCACCUUGUUCCAAAUCCUUUUUUAGUGUUUCACGGUACCAUAUACAUCCUCUUAAACUUCUUUAGAGCUUUGUGCAAAUUUAAUAUUGAAUGUUUGUUUUCCGAUGGUUUAAGAAUUAUUGGAAUUUGUCAGUACUAUUAUGAGCAGUUAUUACACACAAUAGGGUAGCCAGUAUAGUUGGUGGCGGGCAUUAGAAAUUGAGGCUGGAACUUAAAUAUUUUUUAUCUUUCCUGAUACUGGUCAACAUAUUUUCAGCAACUGUCCUCUCUGGCUUUUGCUGAAAGGAAUUAAUCAUGACUUUAUUGACCAAAUUAGGAAAUCUGGCAAAGGUUUUUUUUUUUUUUUCUGGAUAAAGCCAGACAAGUGACGCGUCUGUCCUGUUAUUAGCAUUGCUCUUUCUGUGUUUGCAAGCGAUGCCAAAAUUUGGCAUGAAGUGUUAAAGCCAUGACUAUUAUACUAAUAAGGUCAUAUUGCGAAAUGCAGUGCUCAUUUUGUUGAUAUCACAAAGCUAUUGUGCAGCAUGUAUUUCUUACUUUAAUACAUUCUUCUUGUCGCCAACCUAUACUUAUUUCUGGGGCAGCAUACAGCAGUGCCUUGUGCAUUUUCCUAGACUAUAGCCUUUUGUAGACUGCGAUGACCGGCAAAAUGAAGUUGAAGCAAGGGAAAGAAAAGUAAAAGGCUUAAUUACACCAAGUUUGCAGCAUGUAAGCAUCGUACAGUGACCUUUUAAUGGAGCUGGGUGGAAUUAAUGAAGCAAUCACUGCAGUCUUCAUAUGGAGUGUUCUCGAUCAUCACCAGCACAGUAAAGAAUGUCCUGAUAGCCUGAAGGCUUUUAUUCCUUUCUUUCAUGGGAGAUAUCGAAUCUGAAAUCACUACUCUGGCGUGAAAUCAAAUCUGAAAUCAUUUUCCUGUUGUGAAGGAGAUUUCUGUUUUGAAGGCUUUGCCUCCUAAUCAUUUUGUUGAUCCAGCUUUAAUCACGGUACUUAUUUUGACACUGGGGAUCUUAUUCAGAUUUGCGGUGUAUCAUAUUUCUAUUAUGUGUGGUUACCAGGGUAUCUGGACAUGCCCCUCUCGGAGGGCUGCAUUAUUGUUCUUGAAAAUGGUGCAUUUAUUGUCACAGUCCUUUCAACUUAAUUGCUCUUGUGUUGAUCUUUGGAUUUCGUCGAAAUUCAUUCAGUGGGACUCAGUGCAUGAGCCACGACCAGAAAAGCUACUGUUGAUUCUAAACCUAUCAGAGAUGUAGCACAUUUUGCAGCAAUGUUGUCAUUUUAUUCGUAGAGUUUAAUUUCAUACAAGUUCCUAUAAAUAUAGUGAAUUGUAAAUAUAUCUCUAUAAAGUAGGACAUUUGUAGAAAAGGAUACUGUUGAUUCUAAACCUAUCAGAGAUGUAGCACAUUUUGCAGCCAAUGUUGUCAUUUUAUUUGUAGGGGUUAAUUUCAUACAUGUUCCUACAAAUAUAGUGAAUUAUAAAUAUAUCUUUAUAAAGUUCAAAUUU